rnacentral:rRNA from 1 species
GAUGAACGCUGGCGGCGUGCCUAAUACAUGCAAGUCGAGCGAAUGGAUUAAGAGCUUGCUCUUAUGAAGUUAGCGGCGGACGGGUGAGUAACACGUGGGUAACCUGCCCAUAAGACUGGGAUAACUCCGGGAAACCGGGGCUAAUACCGGAUAACAUUUUGAACCGCAUGGUUCGAAAUUGAAAGGCGGCUUCGGCUGUCACUUAUGGAUGGACCCGCGUCGCAUUAGCUAGUUGGUGAGGUAACGGCUCACCAAGGCAACGAUGCGUAGCCGACCUGAGAGGGUGAUCGGCCACACUGGGACUGAGACACGGCCCAGACUCCUGCGGGAGGGAGCAGUAGGGAAUCUUCCGCAAUGGGCGAAAGUCUAACGGAGCAACGCCGCGUGAGUGAUGAAGGCUUUCGGGUCGUAAAACUCUGUUGUUAGGGAAGAACAAGUGCUAGUUGAAUAAGCUGGCACCUUGACGGUACCUAACCAGAAAGCCACGGCUAACUACGUGCCAGCCGCCGCAGUAA